rnacentral:rRNA from 1 species
UGGGGAAUAUUGCACAAUGGGCGCAAGCCUGAUGCAGCCAUGCCGCGUGUGUGAAGAAGGCCUUCGGGUUGUAAAGCACUUUCAGCGGGGAGGAAGGCGAUAAGGUUAAUAACCUUGUCGAUUGACGUUACCCGCAGAAGAAGCACCGGCUAACUCCGUGCCAGCAGCCGCGGUAAUACGGAGGGUGCAAGCGUUAAUCGGAAUUACUGGGCGUAAAGCGCACGCAGGCGGUCUGUCAAGUCGGAUGUGAAAUCCCCGGGCUCAACCUGGGAACUGCAUUCGAAACUGGCAGGCUAGAGUCUUGUAGAGGGGGGUAGAAUUCCAGGUGUAGCGGUGAAAUGCGUAGAGAUCUGGAGGAAUACCGGUGGCGAAGGCGGCCCCCUGGACAAAGACUGACACUCAGGUGCGAAAGCGUGGGGAGCAAACAGG